AUCUAAGCGAUGAAAAGAUGAGUAGUCUAGUGAGUAAUAUUUUUAGAGAGUCCGGUUAGGUGCAAGCGGAUAAUAUGAAAGCUAGACGAAUAUGGUCUUUGAGCAAUUCAUUUGGUAAGGUUUGACUGAGCUGAAUGCGGGGGUUGCCCGAUAUAGCGAACGAGUAUCAAUCUGGUACUUUGUAAGGCGAUUACUGUGAGGUAAUCGUGAAUUAAGGUGGUAACACGCAUUUAGCGUCCUUUCU
rfam:Lactobacillus graminis DSM 20719 NODE_43, whole genome shotgun sequence.